UUAGUAUUUAUAACAUUUUGUAUUGUUUCUUACAAGCUCCAUAUUCGAUCUAUCAUUAGAAACUUUUUUUCUUAUUAAGGAACAUAAAAUUGAAAUUCUAUUACAGCCAGGCUAUUUUGUGCCUAGGAAGCCUUUUUGAAAAGUUAUGGCUUAGCAAAUCACACAAAGUAGAGAAGAGUUCUAUCAAUUUAAAAAACAAGACAGACCCAAAGCCCAAUAAAGUAUUAAAAAGCCCAUAAGCUUCUUUUUAUUCGUACGUUAACGUAGCACCACCUUUCACCGGAGCUGUAAAACUCGCCGGAUGUUAUUGGUAGCUACGUCACUUUUCCCAGCAGCUUCUACGUUGCAACGAAGCUUCGGUUUGAUCGAAAACCUAGGCAUGGGCAAACUACUCGGUGGCGGAGAUAAUAACAUGAUCGCUGGACCGGGGUAGCCAUCGAAUCCUUCAGGAAAAUCACGCAACUGGUUCGCCUGGAUCGGCACUGAACCGGUUCGAGUCAGUCUCGCAGAUUCGAUGAACUCUGCUUUCUUCAUGUGUGUUUCAGAAAUAGCUUUUGUCUGAGCAACGCGAUUGAGAGAAGAGUUGUUGUUGACACGUGGUCGAGAGCUGUUGACGCGUUGCAGAGGAACAGUUGAGCUGUUGACACGUGGUAGAGGGAGAAGAGGAGGCUGAGAGUAACUAUGCGGCGGCGGAUAUGCCGGAGAAGAUCCCCAAGACGACGUUGGAUUAAGAGGAAGAGCCAAACUUCCUCCGGAUCUUGAAAGAGAACCACGAGAACUCCUUCUUUUAGGGUUCUUGAAUGGUCUCAAACCCGAAACUUGUUUACCCGGUGCAUUUUGAACUGCUAUUGUUUCCAUUGAUUAUAAUUUGGAAAUUUUAGGUUUUUAAAAACGAUUAAAUAAGAUUUGGAAGGAUAAAUCAAGGAAAAAACAGAGAUGUUUAUAUACGUUUUAGUGGCGACGAUCUAUCAAAUAAUACGAUCGAAAACCCUAUAAGUUUGAAUAAAAUUUAAAAGGUUUAUGACAAAGAUAAAAAUUAGAAGUUUUUAAAACAUAUUAAUCUUCAAAUUAAUUAACUCUCAUAACAAGAUCCAAAGGAUCGUUUUGAUAGAAUAAAAACUUUCUAAAGAACCCUAACCUCGAGAGGACAGAUGUUG